rnacentral:rRNA from 1 species
ACGGGGUGCAGCAGGCGCGAAAACUUCACAAUGUGGGAAACCGCGAUGAGGGGAUUCCAAGUGCUAACACUUUGUGUUAGCUGUUCACCUGCCUAAAAAGCUGGUGAAGUAAGGGCCGGGUAAGACGGGUGCCAGCCGCCGCGGUAAUACCUGCGGCCCGAGUGGUGGUCGUUAUUAUUGAGCCUAAAGCGUCCGUAGCCGGUUCAGUAAAUCUCUGGGUAAAUCGGGCAGCUCAACUGUCCGAAUUCCGGAAAGACUGCUGAACUUGGGACCGGGGGAGGUUGGAGGUACUCCUGGGGUAGGGGUGAAAUCCUGUAAUCCUAGGGGGACCACCAGUGGCGAAGGCGUCCAACCAAAACGGCUCCGACGGUAAGGGACGAAGCCCCGGGGCGCAAACGGGAUUAGAUACCCCGGUAGUCCAGGGUGUAAACGCUGCAGGCUUGGUGUUGGGGGUCCUACGAGGGCGCCCAGUGCCGGAGAGAAGUUGUUAAGCCUGCCGCUUGGGAGUACGUCCGCAAGG